CAUGGUGUAUUAGUAUGGUGGGGGAACUUUUGUUGGAAUCGGCUAUCUCGAAUGAAGCCAGUUUCCGGACAAGAGGCGGAGCUUAGUGCAAAAGUCGAAAUUCUUAACAGCCAAUUGCAGGUCUAGUCGCACCUUCUCUGGUGCCCUCUAUGAACCAAGAUACUAAUUUCUUUUAAAAAUUGAAAUUUUUGUUCACGUUCGUUCGAAGACGUCCAUUUAAUGUUCGAAUACGAUGUAACCGUUUGAUCAUGGUUUGAUCGUUUGAUUGAUGAUUAGUGUAAAAUUUAUCCAAAAAUGGUGAAACGGUGCUUCAUUGAAGAUUGUUAUACUGGAAAAGACAAAGAAAAUGGCCCAGCCAUAUUUUUUAAAGUACCCAAACAUCGUCUAGAGGAAUGGAGAGACUCGUCACGCUUGUGUUGGCGUCAUUGUGAUGAAGAAGACAUCAUAAAGGGUAAAUUUAUUUUAGGCCAAUUACAUCCACAACAAUGGCGACUGAGAGAAGGAGCUACACCAAAGCAUGUGUUAGGGCCUCGCAACAUAUUUUUUUCAGGGCCUACAAGACAACAGAACAACAGACGCCCAGCAUUGGAAGAUUUGCCUCUAAAUGGUCCUGUGAAGAAGAAGAAACUGCAGCCAAGAUGCAAAACAAUUACGUCAAUUUUGGGGACACCUAUUUCCAGCAUAGUUCAAAAUCAGAUAACUACUAUUCACCGCACAGAUUGAAGGAACAGUUCCCAACCUAUAACUUAAUCGCUUUGCACAAAUGCUCUCUCAGAUUCUGGUUCCAGCCAUGUGAUGUUUGAUGAGGACACUAUAAUGGAUUCAGUUCCUGUGCCUGUCACUUCUGCUCUUCCUGAUCCUGGCCCAAGCCAAGCCACUGUUGAAGACGACAUUAUCAUGGAUUCAGUUCCUGUGCCUGUCACUUCUGCUCUUCCAGAUCCUGGGUCAAGCCAAGCGAUUGUUGAAGACGACACUCUGAUUGAUUCAGUUCCUGUGCCUGUCACUUCUACUCUUCCUGGUAUUUCAAAACACUAUACAGUGUCUCAAACUGUUGUUAUAUUUUAUGUUAGUAGUUGUUAAAGUUUCAAACU